rfam:Loxodonta africana unplaced genomic scaffold scaffold_44, whole genome shotgun sequence.
CAAAAGGCUCUUUUCAGAGCCAUCCACACUUUCAAGAGAGAAGCUG